UUGAAAUGUUAUCCUAGACUUAAUGUUUUGGUUCUUUAAUUUUUUGACAUUAUUUCCCACUAACAUAAAAGAAUCUAUUACUUGUAUUUCUAUUUGCAUAAUAUACAUCAUUCAACUACACAUGUUCCUUUGAUUAAGUUGUGAAUUCUUUAUUCAUGGUUCUUUUCAAACAGUUAAGAAUACUUCCCUUUUUAUUCUAUGUUCUAUCACAAUACAAAACUUGCCUUGGACUGACUGAAAGAUGAUUGUGAUUAAUUAGUAUUAGCUUCGUCUAUAAUAUUAUAUAAUUGGUAUUAACACCGAAGAAUUUAAUAAUAUUAAAAAUCGCAGACUGCUCUAGUAGUGCUCAGGAUAUCAAUACACAGACUAUGCUCUGAAACGCUUGGCUGGAUUUGUGAGGAACUUCGCAAUCUUCAUGUUCAGAAGUGUUUUUGAUCUCUACAGUUUAGCAUUUGUUUGGAACGAAUAAGAAUAACAACUAAUUGCUCUAGAUUAACUCUACCAAGUGCUACAAUGCUCUGGUGGGGAAUAAUCCUGUGAAGAAAGAGGCAAAUUUACCUCUCAACUCUGCGUCUAUUCACGAGAUAAAUGAAUGGCGUCAAUUGCUGUACAAAAAAAUUGUUGAGUAGCUAUGGUAUCACUUCGGCAGCGAGCACUCUCAGCUAUUGCUAAGUCGAUACAACAUACUUUCUGGCAGCAGCCACAAUUCGGAGAGCGUCCCCUGGUUGAAUGCCCGCGUAGUUCACCAGAUCUUGUCUAUUUGCCAGCUUCAGAUCAUCAAUAGUGUAAUAGUGAUUGUUGAGAAGCCGCACCAGACAAUCGCUAGCGCGUUCGUUGCCAAAACCCUGAAUUCCCUUCAAGAACACCCAUGUUGGAUUCCGGACUGGCGUCGGAGUCCUCUCCGGCAAUCUCUCCAACAGCUCUUCACACUUCCGCAGGUUGGCGCGGUCUGCUACAGCAUGAUAUGCGUGGCACUGAACAAAAUUCGAAUUGCAGAAGAGUACCGACAUCGUCGCGAACAGAACAACCAAAUUCGAAGGAAUGGUCUGCACUCUCGUUCCACAAGAGUUUCCAAGGUUUCAACAAUUACGCGUCGAGGGGACACGAGAGGUCAAGAGCACCACUUCGACCGAGACAACUUGAUCGCAGCGCACUCCGAAUCGUCAACAAAGUGCGUGAUAUGUUUGCAUCAAAACCAACUGAUGACAAGUGCUCUCUACAGCAAGCCAGCGAUGCAAGCGGGAGGAGUCUUUUAAAUUCUGCUCGUGACAAGGGUAUUCAGGAGAUCGGCGAUAUGAGUGAGUACCCAAUCGACCCACUACACAUCUUAUGUAAGCUCGUAUUCACGCGUCGCUAGCGACGCGGGUGCUCAGUCUAAGUUAGAUGUGCAUACGUGACGCUAGGCAGAGAUAGUAUUUGACUGAACAAGUGAGCAACAAUUCUACGACACUUCUCACAGGUAACGGAGGCUCCGGUCACUGAUGCAGAGUCUAAGUAUACUGUCAAAUUAGUCGCGACUAUAGCGGAGACUUUGGCAAGGACCUGACGUACUUUCCAUGUUCCAAGGAGAAGAGAUUACAUCAGCGUCUGCAGUUGCCGUUCGAUCUUCCGCUUGGAUCUUGUGAGAGAAGACAAUCGAUGUAGCGGAAACGCUCAGCGCGAAUCCCAGGGCAGCAGUUGAAUUGGUGAUAGAAAGCGCCCCGCAUUUUCAAAGGCAGUUUGAAACACACACAGAGACGGGAUGAAAAGCCCUGCAGUAGUUGGGACCCUGCCCUACCCGCAUUGCCACAUCGCUCCGUUGCCAAGAAUUCGUCACGCCAUCGCUGCCUUCGAAUAAUACAGUAUGGUUUAUACCACAAGCUGGGACUUGUACAGGUUAUAAAGGAAAUUCUCCCCUAAUACCACUAAUCCCAUGUUGUAAGGCAUGUCUGAAACGUUAAUGAAUGGUUAAUGAAUGCACAUUUUUCAACAUUAUGUCAGAGUUACGUCAGAGCCGAGCUGUGGAUGAAUUUUAGAUGAAAAGUAUAGAUGAACAUAAUUUUGUGGAUGAAUAUUUGGAAGAAAACUCUUGGAGAUGAAUUGUUGCCAUCUUGCUACUACCAAACCUUGCAAUUGCAUUGCCACUAGAGCCUUGCCAUGUUGAACCAAGUUUCAUACUGUUGAUUCUGAUUUCUACUAGAGUUGAUUCCUUGCUACUCUUGGUACUAGAGUCGAAUUUUUGUUAUAUAUUAGGUAAAUCUUAGCUUGAAAUGCAAACCAUAUGGUACUAUUUCUAUAUCUUUUGACAAAUGUACUUAGUAUGGCUCAAAUUUAUAGUAACAUUUUUUUUUUGCCUUAUAAGAAAUCAAUACAAAGGAUAUGACUAGAUUCACCAAGGUCUUUCAUCUUACAAUAGUCUUGCAAUUUAUCCUUGUAUUUUGGAAGGAUCUCAUAGUUCUUAACAUUGAUUAGUAAAUCAUCAAUAUAAAUAAUGAAUGUAAGAAAUAAUCCCUCAAUAUACAUUGUAUACAAAUAAGGAUCUAACUUUCAGUACUUUCAACAACAAUUCGGUAAAAAUCCAUCUAAAUUCUUAUUCUAUCUUUAUCUAGAUUGCUUCAUGUCAUACAAGGUCUUUAGUAAUUAUAACACCUUACCUUUGUAUUUAAGUAGAACCUCCAAUCCUUUUAGAAUCUUCAUAUAGAUGUCUUCUUAAUUAAAUUCACUAUUCAAACAAGAUGAAAUAAUUUCAAAUAAUAACAUCUUUCAAUCAAGAAUAGCAACAAUUAUAAGAAAUAAGAAAAUUAUUAUAAUACAUAUAAAUAAUACAAAAAUAUCUUAAUAAUUAAAACUUUUUUAUCUAAAUAAAACACUUUGUAACAAACCAUGCUUUAAAAUGCUCAAUAAAAAUAUUUGUUGGCAAGAUUCCUCUUAAAAAUCUAUUUUAAAUCCAUAAUUUAUUUUUCAAUUCAUAAAAAUAAAAAUUCUUAUGUAUUGUAAUCUUUCAAAGAAUCAAGUUUUUUUUUAUGGCAUGAUUCUACUCUUUAUAUAGAAGUAAGCUCAUGGCUUAGUUUUGCAUCUUUGUCAAUAUAAUCAACAUCCAUUGUAUUAAUUAGCAAGUCAUAAUCUCUUCAAAUAGAAUUUUUGUCAUUUUCUCAAGGCAUGCAAUGGAUCCUACUACCACUUGUAAUGUUUGUUAAGUCAAUCCCAACUAUGUAAUAACAUCUUUCUCAUAGAGAUUGAAUGAUUAUUCUACUUCUUAUCAAGGACAAAGACUCGAUGAGGGAAAAUAUACACCAAAAGGCUAUCUCGAUAUAAUAAGUCAAAAUAUAAACAAGUAGGUAUAUUAAAAGGAAACUGGAAUGGCUAUUGCCACAAGACAAGAAACUAAAGACUCUUGAACCUGGACUAGAAGCAAGAAAGGAGUUGACAAGAGUGAAGAAGCCUUCACUCUUGUCUCUAUAUAUACUAUCUAACUAGGGGCUACGUGGCGACGUUCUAUAGGACCUCCAAUAUGUGUUGACUUUGUAGGACACAUGCCUUGACUUACAAGGCAAGUUUUUCUACGUGUGGGCCACAUAGUUAGCUUGAUCUUCAAGCUAACAACAUGUGUGGCACAUGGCCAACUUGUUGACCACGUUUCUAAUCCAAAAAGUCAAUUAAAGACACCUAUGAAGUCAAAGCAGCGUCUAGGAAGUUUCUAGGAAGCUUCUAUAUUAAAUAUUAUAGAAUUAACUUACUUUUAUCUACUUUUACUUACUUCUACCUAUUUCUAUAUGUAAUUAUUAGCUUACAUGAUUAUGGCCGUGACAUUACCCCCCCUUCUAGAGACGAGUUCCACGAGGAGCGAUCAUCAUAUGUUGAGGAAAUCUAUGAUGCGACGAAUUGUAUUCGUCACAUACUCUGAUCUCUGUUCUCUUCGAAGAUGAUUGAUAGGGCCUCUCAACCAUCGGUAGUGUCCCAUACCAGGGCGGGAAGACCACCCAGUUAUUUGAUCAUUGUUGAGGCCUUCGUAACUUCCUUCGAAUAGAAUAUUUGGAACACCAUCAAGAGUUGUUCCUACCUCUAGCAAAAUCACCAAACAUCGAGAGUCCCUUCCCAAAUCGUGAUACCAAACGCGUUGUAUCUCACCAUCUGUUCGAGGAAGAACAUGUCGUUCUUGAAGAUCUUCAUCUCGAUUGCGUCGUCUUGAAGGUUGUGACAAUCGUAAUGUCUCGUCCGGCAGGUCAGCAAACGAAGGUUCUUGAGUUGAAUCCGCUGGUUGUUGGCUCUCCAUCUAAUUAGCGUCACAAAUGCAAAGAAGUUACAAACAAGGAUAGGAAAUUGAAUGUUAUCUUGCCUCAAUCUUGUCUCUUUUGUAAGAGAGAUUUUCAUCUUGAUUUCGAUGGAUGUCGUUGAUGAAAAACUUUGACUUUAGCUGAUGCAUUUCCUAGAUUCCUGGAUGGCUCCCAUGUGCGUUCACUAAUAUCAUAUCCGCGCCAAUGAACAAGAUAUUCCAGCUUAUUUCGGCGCCGCCUUGAGUCUAAUAUCUCUUCCACCUCAAAUUCUUCAUUAUUAUCUACUUCUAUAGGAGGCGGUGGCAUUUGUCUUCUUCCUUGUAUAUCCACUGUCUUAUAUGGUUCAAGAAGAGACACGUGGAAUACAGGAUGGAUCUUCAUUGACUCCGGUAGAUGUAACCGAUAUGCAACUGGGUUGAUCUGUUCAGAAACAGAAAAGGGGCCAAGCCUACGAUAGUCCAACUUGUCACAAGGUCGAGUAGUCUUGAUAUUGCGACGGAGUAGCCAUACCUUAUCACCCACGUUGAUUUGUGGUUGCUCCUUACGAUAUAGAUCUGCGUUUAUCUUUUGUCAUUCUUGAGCUUCCUUCAAUUGCGUCUUCAUUAUUGCAUGUAACUCUGACAACCGAUUUGCCAUAUCUUCUGCUGCAAGAUUAUCAACUUUUGAAAAAUCAAAAGUAUCAAGUCGUGGAUGAUAGCCAUAAUUGGUAAAGAAAGGUGUUUGUUGCGUGGAAGAAUGUACCGUAUUAUUAUAAGCAAACUCUGCCAAUGGCAGAAGGGUUGUCCAAUCAUCUUGUUGGUAGUUGAUAGUACACCUUAAAUAUUACUCCAAGACUUGGUUUACGCGCUCUGUUUGUCCAUCUGUUUGAGGAUGGAAAGCCGAAGAUAGCUUUAUGUCCACUUUUAAAAUCUUGAAAAGGGUCCUCCAAAAUCUUGACACAAAUUGAGUUCCUCUAUCCGAUAUGAUAUCUUUAGGUAAUCUAUGAUAGCGAUAGAUAUUAUCAAUGAAAAGCUUAGCUGUUUCUUCACCUGUGAUAGAUUUUGUACAUGGCACAAAAUGUGCCAUCUUGGUGAAACGAUCUCCUAUCACAAAUAUAGAAUCAUAAGAUCUUGAGCUUGGAAGAUUUGUGAUGAAAUCCAUAGAAACAGAAGACCAUGGUUGUUCUGGUAUAGGUAAUGGGUGAAGAAGUCCGUAAGGUCGAUGACGAGGAAUUUUUGAUCUUGAACAAAUAUCACAUGAUUGUACAAAGUCUUUGACUGACUUCCACAUUUGUGGCCACCAAAAAUCUCUUGAUAUGAGUUCCAAAGUCUUAUUAUAUCCAAAGUGCCCUGCUGCUAGAAAGUCAUGACGUGCUUGAAGAACACGUAAACGUGCUUCUCCUUCUGGAACAUAUAGGCAUCCUUCAAAAUAUAAUAGAUUAUUCUUGAACUCGAACUUAGAAGGAUCAUGAGACUUGAAAGAAUUAUUCUUGAUAUCAUGAACAAGAGGGUCUGAGGAUAUACUGGAUUGGAUUUGCUUGAGAAAAGUUGAAUCAACAGUCAAUGUUGAUUUCAUUGCUCGGAGAUGAAAUUGCUCCGGUUUCAAGAGGACCGUUCUUUGUUGCUCAAAAACUGCAUCUCCUUCUUUUGGUGCAAAAUAAGAAAGUCUAGAUAGGGCAUCGGAUAAACCUUGUUGUUUUUCUGGCCGAUAAGUGAUAAUGAACUCGAAUCUUGACAAAGACAUACUCCAACGAGCUUGACGACAAUUCAACACGCGUGCUGACAUGAAAUACUCGAGGUUCUUGUGAUCUGUAUACACAGUGACUGGACUAGAAGCGCCUUCUAGAUAAUGACGCCAUUCUUGAAAGGAAUCCACGAUCGCAAGAAGUUCUUUAUCGUGGAUCUCAUAAUUGAUCUCGGCUGCUGAGAAUUUUCUUGAAUGAAAAGCUAUCGGAUGAAGUUUGUCAUCUGUUCCCAUUUGUGAUAAAACUGCACCCAAGGCAAAAUCUGAUGCAUCUGUUUCCAUAAAAAAUGCCUUGGAAAAAUCAACACGAUAUAAGACUGGUGCAGAGACGAACGAUGUCUUCAAGGCUUCAAAUGCUGCUUCCGCUUCUUGAUUCCAUUGGAAUUUAUCUUUACUAGUCAAGCGUGUAAGUGGAGCUGCAACUCGUGAGAAAUCUUUGAUGAAGAUCCGAUAGUAAUUGGCAAAUCCCAAGAAACAUUGGACAUCUCUUACUGUCCUUGGAAUCUUCCAAUCCAUGAUUGUUUGGACUUUCUUAGAAUCCAUCAUGAGACCAUCAUUUGAAAUGAUGUAUCCUAAAAAGUCAACUUGAGUAGUGUGAAAUACACACUUUUUCAUCUUGGCGUACAAUCCUGCAUCUCUAAGUUUUUGUAAUACUUGACGAACAUGUAUUUCAUGUUCUUCGACGUUCUUAGAAUAGAUCAGGAUAUCAUUUAGAUAGCAGACGACAAAAUUGUCUAAGAAUUCACGAAAUACAUCAUUCAUGAGAUACUGAAAAGCAGCUGGUGCAUUCGUGAGUCCAAAGGGCAUGACAUUAUAUUCGAAAUGUCCAUACCUGGUUCGAAACGCAGUCUUCUAUUCAUCUCCUUCUUUGAUCCGUACUAGAUUAUAUGCUCCUCUUAGAUCUAUUUUUGUAUAGAUCUUAGCUUAAUUCAACUGGUCAAGGAGUCCUGAUAUCAAAGGUAAUGGAUACCUGUUCUUGAUUGUGAUCUUGUUGAGUCCUCGAUAAUCAACACACAUUCGUAAAGAUCCAUCUUUUUUCUUUACGAAUAGAAUUGGAGCUCCUGCUGGAGAUUUUGAAUGGCGUAUGAAAUUCUUCGCUAAAUUCUCGUCAAUAUAUGUCUUGAGUUCAGCCAUCUCAUCUUGCGAUAAACUAUAAAUUGGUCCAAAUGAUGGCUGAGUUCCUUCCUUGAGGUCGAUUGAACAAUCAUAUGGGCGAUGCUCAGGAAGAAUAUCUGCAUUCUUUUUCUCAAAAACGUCUUGAUACUCCUGAUAUUGACUUGGAAUGCCACUUGAAGUCUUUACGUUUUCAGAAAUAGGUGCAGCAUAAAUAGCAAAAGUUGACCCUCCUUUUGCUGCGUGUAUAAAUGCUUUUGCACCUAUUAGUACGAGUUUUACUAUAUUAGACUUAUAAUUUUUUACUUAGUUGGUAGAACUAUUAAUAACGCUCUGGAAAAAUUCAAGUUUACGUGAAUUCCAAUCUAUUCGAGGGUUAUAUUUUUCUAGCCAGGAUAAACCUAAAAUAACUGGAUUGGACGGGGAUUUAAUUAUGUUAAAAGCUAUGUAGCUAUCAUGACCGUCUAUUGUUACUUUUAUAGGAUGAGUUUCAUGAGUGACAUCUCCAGAAGACAAGGGACGACUAUCUAUGACUUCUACAUGUACUGGUUUAGGUUUCUGUACAAAGGGUAUUUUACGACUUUUAAUAAAUUGUUCAUCUAAAAAACAUGCUGAGGCUCCCGAAUCUAAUAAAGCAGAGGCUUUGUAAUUCUUAGGUCCUAAAUAUAAGUCUAUUAUAAAACAAGGAGAGGGUUCUGAGGAGAGGAUAGGACCUUCAUUAGGAAUUGUACAAGGUUCCAGCUGCACGGUCCCUAUUGUAGCUGGACGAAUCCGUUUUCCGACAUGUUGUCUUCUUUGACCGUCGUACCCCUCAUUUUAUAGUUGCGUCGUUUCUUUGGACAAUGUUGAGCAGUGUGCUUAGGUUCUCCGCAAUAUAAACAUAAUCCUUCUUGACGACGACAAAUCUUUUCUUACUCAGUUAGAGGUUUAAAACGUACCGCGUCAAUUUGCAUGUCUUCUACUUCUGAAUGUACGUUUGGCAAAGAUGUUGAUGUUGCCAUUGAGUAAUAACGUUGAGGUUCCCGUGAAUGAUUCUCAGAUCGAAAUUCAAAAAGUCGAUUAUCACAUUUUAUCGCAAAAUCGAUUGCUUGACUCAAAGUUUGAGGAUCAGGUAAGUUGAGCAUCAAUUUCUUUACUUCAUAUUGCAAUCCAUAAAGAAAUUGACUGAUGAGUGCAGCAUCAUCCCACUUGAUGUCAAUUGCAAGUUGUCAAAAUUGUGAAGCAUAUACUGUUACUGAGCGAUUUCUUUGUCGCAGAAUUUGGAUCUUAUUUGUUGCAACACGAGUUGCAUCGUGUUCACCAUACAUAGAUCGAAACUCUGCCAAAAAAGCUUCCAAAUUGUCCAAUAUUGGAUUUCAUUGUUCAAGAAAAGACGAAAAUCACGAUAAUGCAGAACCAGAAAGUAGAGUGCCAAUAAACCUGACUUGUGAUCCUGGAGUUGGAUAGCUUUGCGGUUGAAGUUCAAUUGCCAAUUGUACUUGAUUGAUGAACCCUCGAAACUUUGAUCUCGUACCAUCAAAUUUCUCAGGUAAGGCAAUUCUUGGUUCUCUAGUGCUUAUAGGGUGUUACACAAUUGGAGAAGGAACGUGAUUUGUUGUAGAUGUUGAAGCAGCUUCGAUCAUCUCUAUAUCUCCACUUUCUACUAUUCUUGUUCUUUCUUGUGUUGGUGAAUUGAGUUGAUGCAUCGCAAGCAUUAACUCCCUCAUUUGCUCUUGCAUUUGUGCCAUUGCACUCUUCAUUUCAACAAGCUCUGCCAUAAUGACACUAAGAAGAAAAAUUUGUUUGAUAUUGCUCAAGACAAAAGAAAAGAAAGACUUGAUAACAAAGAAGAUACUAAGAACAAUAUCAGUUUAGAAGUGGGUAAUCCGCAAACUUCUAAUACGCUUAUGUCUUGUCAAGAGAAAGAGGUAAUCCACUCUUACUCAAGAAAAAACAAAGCUCUGAUAUUGUAAGUGUACUCUUGUCAAUCUGUCAAGGACAAAGACUCGAUGAGGGAAAAUAUACACCAAAAGGCUAUCUCGAUAUAAUAAGUCAAAAUAUAAACAAGUAGGUAUAUUAAAAGGAAACUGGAAUGGCUAUUGCCACAAGACAAGAAACUAAAGACUCUUGAACCUGGACUAGAAGCAAGAAAGGAGUUGACAAGAGUGAAGAAGCCUUCACUCUUGUCUCUAUAUAUACUAUCUAACUAGGGGCUACGUGGCGACGUUCUAUAGGACCUCCAAUAUGUGUUGACUUUGUAGGACACAUGCCUUGACUUACAAGGCAAGUUUUUCUACGUGUGGGCCACAUAGUUAGCUUGAUCUUCAAGCUAACAACAUGUGUGGCACAUGGCCAACUUGUUGACCACGUUUCUAAUCCAAAAAGUCAAUUAAAGACACCUAUGAAGUCAAAGCAGCAUCUAGAAAGUUUCUAGGAAGCUUCUAUAUUAAAUAUUAUAGAAUUAACUUACUUUUAUCUACUUUUACUUACUUCUACCUAUUUCUAUAUGUAAUUAUUAACUUACAUGAUUAUGGCCGUGACACUUCUAGUUGAUGGAAUUCCACUACUUUUGUUGAUAUAGACUUUGCCUCCUUCUCAAUCAUUUUUCCACCAAAUCCAUCAUAUACAUGUGAUUCCAAGGCUUGAGAUUUAUAUAUUUUUAAUUCAUCUAGAUAUUAAAGAUGAAGAAAAUCAAGCUUAUUUCUAUGAUUUCUAUCUUUUCUACUCUUCUCUUAAAAAAUUGGUGGUUCACAAAAUAAAUCAUCUUUGUUAUCAAGAAAAAUCACAUCUUAACUAAGCAUCUUUUUUUUCUAAACAUAAGAAAAUCUCAUAUUCUUUUUUCAUAUUUAAAUAUCUAAAAAAAUUUUUUUUUUUUUAUCUUUGCAUUAAACUUUUGACAUAUAUAUUUUUUAAUAUGUAAUAUCAAAUAAGAUAAUUAAAACAAUGAAAAUAUAAAACAAAAGAUUUUUCACUACAAAAAACUUCUUAUAGUAUCUUUCUACCAAGUUUUAUAAGUGAAAGGCAAUUACAAGUCCAAGUUACAAACAUCAAUAAAUGCCUAAUAUUGACAAUGUAGCUUGAUAUUAUCUAAGAAUAUUUAUAUUUCUUUAAAGAUAGUCUACAUCAUACACUCUACCAUGAUAAUUUCAUAUAUAUAUCCAAGAAUAAUCACAUAUCAGAUGCCUUAAGCCUUGAAGUGAGAAUUAAGUUUAUAAUGCUAAAAUUCAUUGCUUUAAAAAAAAAAAAAAAAAAAAAAAAAAAAACUACCUUUCUUUUGAUUUUCUUUUAUAUCUUUGCUUUCUAAGUCUUAUAUGCAACAUUUAUUUAGUAUUUUUUCUGAAGGAAUGUAAGGCUAUAAUAACUAAAGUGAUUUUCAAUUUACACAUCUAACUAUUUGGUGCUACCAAAAUUAGUUGCAUUAGAAUAACCAAGUUCAAACAUUAUUACAAAUAAAAUUCUACAAGCACGCUUGUGAUUGUAUGGAAGAGACUACAUAUAGGCCUUAUUAAUAAUGCACAAUUUAUAUGUAAUAUCUUAUCCUUCUUACUUUUCAUCUUCAAUUCUUUUAUACUAUUUAUUUGCUUUACAUCUUAUAUCAUAUGUAUUGAAGCAUGUGCUAAUGUUUGAUUCUAUUCCACAAAUGUAUGACUUAAGAUAGAUGAACUAAUAAUUGUAGCAACUUCUUUAAUUUUACAAGACAUUAAAUAAGCCUUCUCGUUGAACAUGUCUUAUAUGAAUAAGUCACAAAAAUAAAGAAUCCAAUCAAUUCUAUUAUAAUCCAAGCAAAACUUACAACCUUUUUAAGAUAAAGUUGUGAUUAAUAAGAAUAUAUUAUAUACUCGAAGAAUCCAAUGUAAAUCUUCUAUAACCAUAAGAAUAUACUUUUUUUAGAAUAAAAAACUAUGAGAUGUAUCUUACUUGAAUCUCGUGAUUUAUUGAUGCCACAAUCAUAGCCUUGGAGUUGGAAAGUUGUAUUUAUGAUAAAAUUGACAAGCUUAUUUUUGUCUCCUUGAAUGUAUACAUCUGUUGUAAUAUCAAUACAAACAUAAUUUUGUGAUUGAGAUAACUAUGCAUUUGUUUCUUUUAAUUCACAUAAUGAUUCCUACACAAAGAAAACAAUAAAAAUACUAACACUUAUUGUACAACUAUAAUUUGUUCUAUGAUAGUCUGCAUUACCUUGCCAAUAUUUCUUUUGUCCAUAAGCCUUAUAAAUGCUUUUGGAGUUAUCAAUCUUGGAUUUUUGCUUUUAUUAUAGAUGGUACUUCUUUAAAGUUUGUUUCUUUCCUGCAUAUACUGCAAAGACAAAAAAUGGAGAGCUAAUCUUCUCAUUUCAUUUCAUUUUUUUUAAAGAAUAUAAAGUGUAUUACUUCUUAUAUGAUCUCUUCUUGUUUCCUUGAUGCAAUCCAUUGAAUAAGUGGAUUCCAUAUAUUUGACAAUGUAAUAAGUAUAAAAAAUGCCAUAUUUUGUUUAUUUAUUUUACCACUAGACUCAAUGAAUUGAUCUUUAAGAUCAAAAAAAUCUUCAAGGAAACACUUCUUAGAUUUGCUAUCAAUGUACCAAAUAUUAUGAAGUUUUUAUUAUCAAAAAGAUCUUAGUAAUAAUAUCCAAGGACUUAUGGAUUUUAGCCAAAAUAUUCUACAAUUCUUUUGUUAUCUUACAUUUGUGUAUGUGAGUGAAUUACAAAGGCUUAACAUUGAGGGCAAUCAAUGCUUGAGCUUUUGACUUACUUAAUCUCCAUUUUAAUUUUCCAUGUAGAGUUUAUGUAUGUGCAUCAAGUGUUUCAUAACAAAUGCCCAUGUAUUAUAGUUCUUCUCAUCUAACCAAUCAAUACAAUGGUUGAUUGAUGAUGAUGUUAUUGCCAAGACAACCAAUGCAAUAACAAUAAGAAACAAAAUUAUUCAACAAUAACAAAUAAUAGAGGAUGGUGAUACCAAGCCAUGAUGAAGCAACAUCACUUCUUCAACACCAAAAGUAGCAAGGAAUCAACUCUAGUAGAAAUCAGAAUCAACAGUAUGAAACUUGGUUCAACAUGGCAAGGCUCUAGUGGCAAUGCAAUUGCAAGGUUUGGUAGUAGCAAGAUGGCAACAAUUCAUCUCCAAGAGUUUUCUUCCAAAUAUUCAUCCACAAAAUUAUGUUCAUCUAUACUUUUCAUCUAAAAUUCAUCCACAGCUCGGCUCUGACGUAACUCUGACAUAAUGUUGAAAAAUGUGCAUUCAUUAACCAUUCAUUAACGUUUCAGACAUGCCUUACAACAUGGGAUUAGUGGUAUUAGGGGAGAAUUUCCUUUAUAACCUGUACAAGUCCCAGCUUGUGGUAUAAACCAUACUGUAUUAUUCGAAGGCAGCGAUGGCGUGACGAAUUCUUGGCAACGGAGCGAUGUGGCAAUGCGGGUAGGGCAGGGUCCCAACUACUGCAGGGCUUUUCAUCCCGUCUCUGUGUGUGUUUCAAACUGCCUUUGAAAAUGCGGGGCGCUUUCUAUCACCAAUUCAACUGCUGCCCUGGGAUUCGCGCUGAGCGUUUCCGCUACAUCGAUUGUCUUCUCUCACAAGAUCCAAGCGGAAGAUCGAACGGCAACUGCAGACGCUGAUGUAAUCUCUUCUCCUUGGAACAUGGAAAGUACGUCAGGUCCUUGCCAAAGUCUCCGCUAUAGUCGCGACUAAUUUGACAGUAUACUUAGACUCUGCAUCAGUGACCGGAGCCUCCGUUACCUGUGAGAAGUGUCGUAGAAUUGUUGCUCACUUGUUCAGUCAAAUACUAUCUCUGCCUAGCGUCACGUAUGCACAUCUAACUUAGACUGAGCACCCGCGUCGCUAGCGACGCGUGAAUACGAGCUUACAUAAGAUGUGUAGUGGGUCGAUUGGGUACUCACUCAUAUCGCCGAUCUCCUGAAUACCCUUGUCACGAGCAGAAUUUAAAAGACUCCUCCCGCUUGCAUCGCUGGCUUGCUGUAGAGAGCACUUGUCAUCAGUUGGUUUUGAUGCAAACAUAUCACGCACUUUGUUGACGAUUCGGAGUGCGCUGCGAUCAAGUUGUCUCGGUCGAAGUGGUGCUCUUGACCUCUCGUGUCCCCUCGACGCGUAAUUGUUGAAACCUUGGAAACUCUUGUGGAACGAGAGUGCAGACCAUUCCUUCGAAUUUGGUUGUUCUGUUCGCGACGAUGUCGGUACUCUUCUGCAAUUCGAAUUUUGUUCAGUGCCACGCAUAUCAUGCUGUAGCAGACCGCGCCAACCUGCGGAAGUGUGAAGAGCUGUUGGAGAGAUUGCCGGAGAGGACUCCGACGCCAGUCCGGAAUCCAACAUGGGUGUUCUUGAAGGGAAUUCAGGGUUUUGGCAACGAACGCGCUAGCGAUUGUCUGGUGCGGCUUCUCAACAAUCACUAUUACACUAUUGAUGAUCUGAAGCUGGCAAAUAGACAAGAUCUGGUGAACUACGCGGGCAUUCAACCAGGGGACGCUCUCCGAAUUGUGGCUGCUGCCAGAAAGUAUGUUGUAUCGACUUAGCAAUAGCUGAGAGUGCUCGCUGCCGAAGUGAUACCAUAGCUACUCAACAAUUUUUUUGUACAGCAAUUGACGCCAUUCAUUUAUCUCGUGAAUAGACGCAGAGUUGAGAGGUAAAUUUGCCUCUUUCUUCACAGGAUUAUUCCCCACCAGAGCAUUGUAGCACUUGGUAGAGUUAAUCUAGAGCAAUUAGUUGUUAUUCUUAUUCGUUCCAAACAAAUGCUAAACUGUAGAGAUCAAAAACACUUCUGAACAUGAAGAUUGCGAAGUUCCUCACAAAUCCAGCCAAGCGUUUCAGAGCAUAGUCUGUGUAUUGAUAUCCUGAGCACUACUAGAGCAGUCUGCGAUUUUUAAUAUUAUUAAAUUCUUCGGUGUUAAUACCAAUUAUAUAAUAUUAUAGACGAAGCUAAUACUAAUUAAUCACAAUCAUCUUUCAGUCAGUCCAAGGCAAGUUUUGUAUUGUGAUAGAACAUAGAAUAAAAAGGGAAGUAUUCUUAACUGUUUGAAAAGAACCAUGAAUAAAGAAUUCACAACUUAAUCAAAGGAACAUGUGUAGUUGAAUGAUGUAUAUUAUGCAAAUAGAAAUACAAGUAAUAGAUUCUUUUAUGUUAGUGGGAAAUAAUGUCAAAAAAUUAAAGAACCAAAACAUUAAGUCUAGGAUAACAUUUCAAG
rnacentral:lncRNA from 1 species